rnacentral:rRNA from 1 species
AGCUCCAAAAGCGUAUAUUAAAGUUGUUGCAGUUAAAAAGCUCGUAGUUGAACCUUGGGGUUGGCUGGCCGGUCCGCCAAUGGCGAGUACUGGACCCAGCCGGCUCUUUCCUCCUGGGUAGCUAGUGCCUUCUGGUGCUAGUGAGCCAGGACAUUUACUUUGAAAAAAUUAGAGUGUUCAAAGCAGGCCUUUGCUCGAAUAUAUUAGCAUGGAAUAAUAGAAUAGGACGUUUAUGGUUCUAUUUUGUUGGUUUCUAGGACCAUCGUAAUGAUUAAUAGGGACGGUCGGGGGCAUCAGUAUUCAGUUGUCAGAGGUGAAAUUCUUGGAUUUACUGAAGACUAACUACUGCGAAAGCAUUUGCCAAGGACGUUUUCA